AUUGAACGCUGGCGGCAGGCCUAACACAUGCAAGUCGAGCGGAUGAAGGGAGCUUGCUCCUGGAUUCAGCGGCGGACGGGUGAGUAAUGCCUAGGAAUCUGCCUGGUAGUGGGGGAUAACGUCCGGAAACGGGCGCUAAUACCGCAUACGUCCUGAGGGAGAAAGUGGGGGAUCUUCGGACCUCACGCUAUCAGAUGAGCCUAGGUCGGAUUAGCUAGUUGGUGGGGUAAAGGCCUACCAAGGCGACGAUCCGUAACUGGUCUGAGAGGAUGAUCAGUCACACUGGAACUGAGACACGGUCCAGACUCCUACGGGAGGCAGCAGUGGGGAAUCUUGGACAAUGCGCGAAAGCCUGAUCCAGCCAUGCCGCGUGUGUGAAGAAGGUCUUCGGAUUGUAAAGCACUUUAAGUUGGGAAGAAGGGCUGUAAGUUAAUACCUUGCUGUUUUGACGUUACCAACAGAAUAAGCCCCGGCUAACUUCGUG
rnacentral:rRNA from 1 species